rnacentral:rRNA from 1 species
GAUGAACGCUGGCGGCGUGCCUAAUACAUGCAAGUCGAGCGAACAGACGAGGAGCUUGCUCCUCUGACGUUAGCGGCGGACGGGUGAGUAACACGUGGAUAACCUACCUAUAAGACUGGGAUAACUUCGGGAAACCGGAGCUAAUACCGGAUAAUAUAUUGAACCGCAUGGUUCAAUAGUGAAAGACGGUUUUGCUGUCACUUAUAGAUGGAUCCGCGCCGCAUUAGCUAGUUGGUAAGGUAACGGCCUACCAAGGCAACGAUGCGUAGCCGACCUGAGAGGGUGAUCGGCCACACUGGAACUGAGACACGGUCCAGACUCCUACGGGAGGCAGCAGUAGGGAAUCUUCCGCAAUGGGCGAAAGCUUGACGGAGCAACGCCGCGUGAGUAAUGAAGGUCUUCGGAUCGUAAAACUCUGUUAUUAGGGAAGAACAAAUGUGUAAGUAACUAUGCACGUCUUGACGGUACCUAAUCAGAAAGCCACGGCUAACUACGUG